GGUGAGGGAAACGCUGGUACGUAAAAUUCUUGACGUUCUGCGGCAGGCUACGCAGGGGCCAGAAAGACUCCACUUCCCAGAAACCUCCGCUCUGUAUCGGGACAGGGGAAGGAUGCGUCAUUUCCUGUAUGGACGUUGCCUGUGGAAUAUCGGUCGGCUGUCUUUGCUGCCAACCCACGUGCGCGUGGAAACCCCGCGGAGCAUUCUACCAAUGGCCAAAGGCACAGAAGAAACAGAAAGGCUACUGAAGAGAAUCCAGGAGCUGGAAGAGACAGUGCAAAGGCUAGAAGACAGGCUCUUGGAAAACAGAAAAAGCCCAGGCGAGGGGAAUGGUCUCCCAGCAUCAGGAAAAGGGAAGAAACGGCCACAGCGGCCAUUCAAUUUCAGUGCGUAUGGCCAGAGGCAUGUAGCACUCAAGAUCGCCUACCUGGGGUGGGAAUAUCAGGGCUUUGCCAGCCAGGAGAACACCAACAAUACAAUAGAAGAGAAACUGUUUGAAGCUCUAGGAAAAACUCGGUUGGUGGUCAACAGACAGACUUCUAACUAUCAUCGCUGUGGACGCACAGACAAGGGAGUCAGUGCAUUUGGACAAGUGAUCUCUUUGGAUCUCCGGUCAAACCUUUCAGAAAAUAAAUCUGGGGUUGUUUACACAGAAGAUAAAAGUCAUAUUUCAGAGGAGAUCCGCUACACCCAUAUUUUGAAUCAGGUACUCCCUCCUGACAUAAGAGUAUUGGCAUGGGCCCCUGUAGUUCCUAGCUUCAGUGCUAGAUUUAGUUGCCUGAAGAGGACCUAUCGCUAUUUCUUUCCCCGUGCUGAUCUGGAUGUCACUCUUAUGAAUACAGCAGCUCAAAGAUUCAUAGGGACCCAUGAUUUUCGUAAUUUCUGCAAAAUGGACGUAGCCAACGGUGUGAUCAACUUUCAGAGGACAAUCCUGACUGCAGAAGUGAAGCUUGCAGAUCAAGAAAGGAAAGUAGAAGAACUAAACCAAUUCCAAAUAUAUGCAUUUGAAGUAACAGGCCAAGCAUUCCUUUAUCACCAAGUCCGCUGCAUGAUGGCCAUUCUCUUUCUGAUUGGACAAAGGAUGGAGAAGCUGGACAUUAUUGAUGAACUGUUUGAUAUAGAAACUAAUCCUAGGAAACCACAGUACAGCAUGGCAGUGGAAUUUCCUCUAGUUUUAUAUGAUUGUGAGUUUGAAAACAUCCAGUGGAUCUAUGAUCAUCAAGUCCAGGAAUUUAAUGUUACACGCUUUCAGCAGCUUUGGACGAACCAUGCUAUUAAAACUCAGAUGCUCUACAGCAUGUUAUGGGGCCUGGAUUUUGCAAAGAUACCUACAGAGCCAGGUAGGAAGAAUGAUAUUUUUAAAAACUGUAUUUAAACGAAUGUUCAAUUUACCAUGUGGUAAACUGCUGGUAUACUGUAUACUUCGGUCUAUCUGUAAAAUUCAAUUUUGUCAUUUUAUACACGCAUACAACUCACUUCAUUUUUUUUUUAAUUUUAUGAACAAACAAACGUAAAACACAAAUACAUGUGAACACUUAUACAUUAACAAAAAGUCCAUCGACUAACUUCUAGAAAACCUUCGCAUCGGUGAUUAAUGUCCAUUUAACCAAUUUUCCUUAAUCAUACUAUUUACAAAUUUACUUGCUCAUACCUUAAUACAUUCAUAGAAAUUCAGCAGUAUCUUUCUACAAUCAUAUUAACCAUUUAUUUAUACAAACCUACGGCUCAUCUCAUGUAUCUAUUUCUGCGAUUCUUGAGUUAUGUUCUCCUAGUGUCCUAUGUUGUUGGCCCUAUCCUUCCUUCUAACCAUGUGUACCAUUUUUGCCAAACUAAAUAGAAGUCAGUGUUUUCUUUAUCUUGGAGCUCUUUUGUGAGCCUAUCCAUCUCUGCACAUUCAUUUAUUUUUGUUAUUAUUUUUUCUUCUGUUGGUAUUAUCUCGGAUUUCCAAUUCUGAGCGUACACUAUGCGUGCCGCUGUCAAUAUGUGGAUGCUUCAAGCAACAGCACAACAAUACUCUGGAGAGAGGUAACACCACCAGUCCACAACCAGAUUAGUGCUUUAAUCGAGGGAGUGAAAGCCCACAAUUACAAACCGUUAAUGGAUCGGCCC